UGGCUCAGAACGAACGCUGGCGGCAGGCCUAACACAUGCAAGUCGAACGCCCCGCAAGGGGAGUGGCAGACGGGUGAGGAACACGUGGGAACGUACCUUUUGGUUCGGAAUAACUCAGGGAAACUUGUGCUAAUACCGGAUAAGCCCUUACGGGGAAAGAUUUAUCGCCAAAAGAUCGGCCCGCGUCUGAUUAGCUAGUUGUUGAGGUAAAGGCUCGGCAAAGCGACGAUCAGUAGCUGGUCUGAGAGGAUGAUCAGCCAC
rnacentral:rRNA from 1 species